AGUGAACGCUGGCGGUAGGCCUAACACAUGCAAGUCGAACGGCAGCACAGUAAGAGCUUGCUCUUACGGGUGGCGAGUGGCGGACAGGUGAGGAAUACAUCGGAAUCUACUUUUUCGUGGGGGAUAACGUAGGGAAACUUACGCUAAUACCGCAUACGACCUACGGGUGAAAGCAGGGGAUCUUCGGACCUUGCGCGAUUGAAUGAGCCGAUGUCGGAUUAGCUAGUUGGCGGGGUAAAGGCCCACCAAGGCGACGAUCCGUAGCUGGUCUGAGAGGAUGAUCAGCCACACUGGAACUGAGGCACGGUCCAGACUCCUACGGGAGGCAGCAGUGGGGAAUAUUGGACAAUGGGCGCAAGCCUGAUCCAGCCAUACCGCGUGGGUGAAGAAGGCCUUCGGGUUGUAAAGCCCUUUUGUUGGGAAAGAAAAGCAGCAGGUUAAUACCCCGCUGUUCUGACGGUACCCAAAGAAUAAGCACCGGCUAACUUCGUG
rnacentral:rRNA from 1 species